AAAGCGUUUGAAAGGAGUAAAACUGAACUCGCCAAAGCAGUCUGUCUCGCUCACCCUAAAGAAAGUGCUCCACUUGCCUUGGUAACAGACGCUUCUGAUUUUGCUCUUGGCGCCGUCGUACAACAACUUGUCGAUGAUAUCUGGCAACCACUUGGAUUUCAUAGUAGGAAGCUCAGCGCCGCCGAGAGAAACUACGCUCCUUAUGACAGGGAGUUAUUGGCUAUCUACGAUUCUGUCAAGAAGUUUCGUUACUUGCUGGAGGGACACGAGUUUGUCAUUUAUACGGAUCAGAAAGCCCUUGAAUUUGCAUUCACGAAAAAUAGAACGGACUGUUCUCCUCGCCAGAUUCGCCACUUACAGUUUAUUGGUGAGUUCUGCACGGACAUCAGGUAUGUACCUGGGAAAGCGAACAUUGUCGCCGACGCCCUUUCCAGAGUUGACGCGCUGACGUCAAACAAAAAUAGCAUUUCCUUUUUAGAAGUAGCAAACGCGCAGAAAGAUGACCCAGAAAUUAAGGACUACCUUUUGCCAACUAGCUCGCUACGUCUGAAACAAUUUCCUGUCUCCGAUUCUAACGAGAUGAUUUGGUGUGAUACAACGACUGAAAUUGCUCGCCCUUUUCUACCACAAAAAUUUAGACGUGAAGCAUUCGAUGGUCUGCACCGACUGGCUCAUCCUGGAGUGAAAGCCUCCGUAAAGCUAGUGAUUCAACGUUUUGUCUGGCCUGGAAUGAAAAAUGACUGCAAAAACUGGGCCCGCACAUGCUUGGAAUGCCAAAAAUCGAAGAUAACUCGCCAUAACCAAGCUCCAUUUAAGCCAUUUCCUAUAAUUUCAGAACGCUUUUCUGUUUUGCAUGCAGAUCUGAUUGGUCCUCUACCGCCUUCUGAAGGUAACCGCUAUUGUCUGACGUUAAUUGACCGUUUCACACGCUGGCCAGAAGUAAUCCCUCUUGCCUCUAUCACCAGCGAAGCGGUCAUACGUGCUCUCAAAGAUGGCUGGAUUAGUAGAUUUGGUCUUCCAAUCAAGUUGAUUUGUGAUCAAGGAAGACAGUUUACUUCUAAAACCUUCAAGACGUUUGCUGAGAAAGCAGGUAUAGAAAUUCGCCAUACAAAUGCUUAUCAUCCACAGUCCAACGGCCUCAUUGAGCGAUUUCAUCGCACCCUGAAGGCCGCCCUGAUGUGCCAUUCGACGACCUGGUCAGCCGCGCUAGCACCUGUUCUUCUUGGCUUACGUUCAGCAUUGAAGGAAGACCUUGGUUAUUCGGCUGCCCAGAUGGUUUACGGAGAAAGUAUUCGCUUGCCAGGAGAGUUUUUCGUUGAACCUCAAAAUCAGAUGACUCCGACCGAAAUGCUCCUGCGACUUCAAAGUCAUCUCUCUCAUCUUUGCCCGCAACCAGUAUGGCAUAAUUCCAAGAAGAAAUUUUUUGUACAUCCUGAACUCGCUAUUUCCACGCACGUUUUACUCCGGUGUGAGCAGCGUGCACCUCUCACACCGCAGUAUUCUGGUCCACAUAAAGUACUGCAAAGAGGUGAGAAAUCUUUUAUUAUUGACUACAAAGGACAGCGAAAAACCGUUUCAAUCGACCGCUUAAAACCUGCAUUCAUCGAAGCAAUUUUGCCGAAAGAGCAGAAGGAAGCACCUUGGAUAACACUGACGCCUGCAGAAAAUGUGCAGCAACCUGCCGCACAGCAACCCGAUGUGCAGCAGCCUGUCGUGCCGCAGCCCGCCGCACAGCAGCCAACUGUACAGCCGCCUGUCGCACCGCAACGUGCCGUGCAACAGCCGCCAGAUCGACCUGCAGAGCCUGCUAAUGAACCUCAACCAGGUCCUUCGUGUGCUGCUCCCCAAACACCGUCAGCCAGAAAACCAAACCCAGCGCCAAGUGCCCCACAACGCAAAACUGUUCGAAUUCAGCCACCGCCAACCAAGACUCAACCUCAAACAACUCGUUUUGGCAGAACGAUAAAGCUUCCGGACCGUUAUGGUACUUCCUCGACUUCCAGUCUUCAGUCCGGGGGCUGUAUGGUGGCUGCCGAAAGGUGGCGCUCUCUCCUACCCUGGCUGCCUGAGUAUAUCCGUGUUAACCUGAUAAGGAGUUAUUCUAAACUCGACGAUAAACGUGUGCGGUAGCAGCAAAUAUUGCUCCCUCGGCCGCACAUUUUAGGAGUUCGUUAACCUUGAGCACAUAGCUCCCUUUUACGAACCCUAUAAUUGACGAAUAAUUGAACUACCCUGUUUGUAUAUUGCCAAUCUCUGACAACUCCCUUUUAGGGGUAAGCUUAUGUUAUUAUAUAUAUAUUGUGUUGUGUUAUAUUAAUUGAGUUAUUAUUUUAUUCUUGUCAUUUUUAUAUAUUAUAUUUUAAUAAUUGACAAUGGCCUUUUGCCUUUUUAAUGUGUUUAGUUUUAACAUUCUUUUCUAUGCAUUUAUGGAAUUUAUUAUAUUAUUUCAGACUAAAUUACGGCAAAUACAAUAAAGGCAUUGCAACAA